UUGAAAAGAACUUUGAAGAGAGAGUUCAAGAGUACGUGAAACCGUUCAGGGGUAAACCUAAGAAACCCAAAAGAUCGAACGGGGAGAUUCAUCGUCAGCGACGCUGGCUUCGCGUCGGUGGGCGAUGUCCCGCGGGGCCUCGCGGCUCGCGCGCGGACACGCCGCCGUGCGCUCGAUGUCCGGCGUUUCGUCGUCGUGCACUUCUCCCCUAGUAGAACGUCGCGACCCGCUGGGUGUCGGUCUACGGCCCGGGUGGAAUGGCUGACGCGUCGCCGGUAAAAUGGCACGCGUCAAAACCCCGGUCGCCCGGCCGGCUGCCCGGCGGUACACGCAAGGUAUCAGGCCGCACCGCGCGCGGCGCGCGUCGCUCUCUCACGAGGGCGCGCGCGCGCCCGCGCAUUAUAUGUGCGUCGAGGCCGUCGCAAGCGCGCGCCACGGUACACGGAGGACAAACGGACCUGGCGCCGUCACCGUGCCUGGCCCGCUGUUGGUAGCACGGUUAACCUUCGACAGGCCCGCUAACGUCCCCCCCGCGCCGUUCGGGGCGACCCGACGGCGCGUGCGCGGGGACCGAUACCGGUCGGCGACGCUACUGCUUUGGGUACUCUUAGGACCCGUCUUGAAACACGGACCAAGGAGUCUAACAUGUACGCGAGUCAUUGGGACUAGCGAUAUACCUAAAGGCGCAAUGAAAGUGAAGGUCGGCCCUGGUUGUCGACCGAGGGAGGAUGGGCCGCGUCUCGACGCGGCCCCGCACUCCCGGGGCGUCUCGUUCUCAUCGCGAGAAGAGGCGCACCCAGAGCGUACACGUUGGGACCCGAAAGAUGGUGAACUAUGCCUGGUCAGGACGAAGUCAGGGGAAACCCUGAUGGAGGUCCGUAGCGAUUCUGACGUGCAAAUCGAUCGUCGGAACUGGGUAUAGGGGCGAAAGACUAAUCGAACCAUCUAGUAGCUGGUUCCCUCCGAAGUUUCCCUCAGGAUAGCUGGCACUCGGCCGUUCCGCACGGAACGCGCGCGAGUCUCAUCUGGUAAAGCGAAUGAUUAGAGGCCUUGGGGCCGAAACGACCUCAACCUAUUCUCAAACUUUAAAUGGGUGAGAUCUCUGGCUUUCUUGAACUAUGAAGCCACGAGCAUCUCGGAUCAGAGUGCCAAGUGGGCCAUUUUUGGUAAGCAGAACUGGCGCUGUGGGAUGAACCAAACGCGGAGUUAAGGCGCCCAACUCGACGCUCAUGGGACACCAUGAAAGGCGUUGGUUGCUUAAGACAGCAGGACGGUGGCCAUGGAAGUCGGAAUCCGCUAAGGAGUGUGUAACAACUCACCUGCCGAAGCAACUAGCCCUGAAAAUGGAUGGCGCUGAAGCGUCGAGCCUAUACUCCGCCGUCAGCGGCAAGUGGGGCGGCCGUGUGCUCGCCCGGGCGUCUCCACUCCUCUCGGGGGGUGGGACGCCGCCGGGGUGACGCACGGGCCGCCACGAGGCCCUGACGAGUAGGAGGGUCGCGGCGGUGCGCGCAGAAGGGUCU
rnacentral:rRNA from 1 species